rnacentral:tRNA from 1 species
UGUAGCUCAGUUGGAUAGAGUGUUGGUCUCCGAAGCCAAAGGUCACGGGUUCGACUCCCGUCA